rnacentral:rRNA from 1 species
UACGAAGGGGGGCUAGCGUUGCUCGGAAUUACUGGGCGUAAAGCGCACGUAGGCGGAUUUGUAAGUCAGGGGUGAAAUCCCGGGGCUCAACCUCGGAACUGCCUUUGAUACUGCAAAUCUCGAGUCCGGAAGAGGUGAGUGGAAUUCCUAGUGUAGAGGUGAAAAUUCGUAGAUAUUAGGAAGAACACCAGUGGCGAAGGCGGCUCACUGGUCCGGUACUGACGCUGAGGUGCGAAAAGCGUGGGGAGCAAACAGG